rnacentral:rRNA from 1 species
UUUGGUUAAGUUAGAAAGGGCGCACGGUGGAUGCCUUGACACUAGGAGUCGAUGAAGGACGGGACUAACGCCGAUAUGCUUCGGGGAGCUGUAAGUAAGCAUUGAUCCGAAGAUUUCCGAAUGGGGAAACCCACCAUACGUAAUGGUAUGGUAUCCUUAUCUGAAUACAUAGGGUAAGGAAGACAGACCCAGGGAACUGAAACAUCUAAGUACCUGGAGGAAGAGAAAGCAAAUGCGAUUUCCUGAGUAGCGGCGAGCGAAACGGAACAUAGCCCAAACCAAGAGGCUUGCCUCUUGGGGUUGUAGGACAUUCUAUACGGAGUUACAAAGGAACGAGGUAGACGAAGCGACCUGGAAAGGUCCGUCGUAGAGGGUAACAACCCCGUAGUCGAAACUUCGUUCUCUCUUGAAUGUAUCCUGAGUACGGCGGAACACGUGAAAUUCCGUCGGAAUCUGGGAGGACCAUCUCCCAAGGCUAAAUACUCCCUAGUGAUCGAUAGUGAACCAGUACCGUGAGGGAAAGGUGAAAAGCACCCCGGAAGGGGAGUGAAAGAGAUCCUGAAACCGUGUGCCUACAAAUAGUCAGAGCCCGUUAACGGGUGAUGGCGUGCCUUUUGUAGAAUGAACCGGCGAGUUACGAUCCCGUGCGAGGUUAAGCUGAAGAGGCGGAGCCGCAGCGAAAGCGAGUCUGAAUAGGGCGUUUAGUACGUGGUCGUAGACCCGAAACCAGGUGAUCUACCCAUGUCCAGGGUGAAGUUCAGGUAACACUGAAUGGAGGCCCGAACCCACGCACGUUGAAAAGUGCGGGGAUGAGGUGUGGGUAGCGGAGAAAUUCCAAUCGAACCUGGAGAUAGCUGGUUCUCCCCGAAAUAGCUUUAGGGCUAGCCUUAAGUGUAAGAGUCUUGGAGGUAGAGCACUGAUUGGACUAGGGGUCCUCAUCGGAUUACCGAAUUCAGUCAAACUCCGAAUGCCAAUGACUUAUCCUUAGGAGUCAGACUGCGAGUGAUAAGAUCCGUAGUCAAAAGGGAAACAGCCCAGACCGCCAGCUAAGGUCCCAAAGUGUGUAUUAAGUGGAAAAGGAUGUGGAGUUGCUUAGACAACUAGGAUGUUGGCUUAGAAGCAGCCACCAUUUAAAGAGUGCGUAAUAGCUCACUAGUCGAGUGACUCUGCGCCGAAAAUGUACCGGGGCUAAAUACACCACCGAAGCUGCGGAUUGAUACCAAUGGUAUCAGUGGUAGGGGAGCGUUCUAAGGACAGUGAAGUCAGACCGGAAGGACUGGUGGAGUGCUUAGAAGUGAGAAUGCCGGUAUGAGUAGCGAAAGACGGGUGAGAAUCCCGUCCACCGAAUGCCUAAGGUUUCCUGAGGAAGGCUCGUCCGCUCAGGGUUAGUCAGGACCUAAGCCGAGGCCGACAGGCGUAGGCGAUGGACAACAGGUUGAUAUUCCUGUACCACCUCUUUAUCGUUUGAGCAAUGGAGGGACGCAGAAGGAUAGAAGAAGCGUGCGAUUGGUUGUGCACGUCCAAGCAGUUAGGCUGAUAAGUAGGCAAAUCCGCUUAUCGUGAAGGCUGAGCUGUGAUGGGGAAGCUCCUUAUGGAGCGAAGUCUUUGAUUCCCCGCUGCCAAGAAAAGCUUCUAGCGAGAUAAAAGGUGCCUGUACCGCAAACCGACACAGGUAGGCGAGGAGAGAAUCCUAAGGUGUGCGAGAGAACUCUGGUUAAGGAACUCGGCAAAAUGACCCCGUAACUUCGGGAGAAGGGGUGCUUUCUUAACGGAAAGCCGCAGUGAAUAGGCCCAAGCGACUGUUUAGCAAAAACACAGCUCUCUGCGAAGCCGUAAGGCGAAGUAUAGGGGGUGACACCUGCCCGGUGCUGGAAGGUUAAGGAGAGGGGUUAGCGUAAGCGAAGCUCUGAACUGAAGCCCCAGUAAACGGCGGCCGUAACUAUAACGGUCCUAAGGUAGCGAAAUUCCUUGUCGGGUAAGUUCCGACCCGCACGAAAGGUGUAACGAUUUGGGCACUGUCUCAACCAGAGACUCGGUGAAAUUAUAGUACCUGUGAAGAUGCAGGUUACCCGCGACAGGACGGAAAGACCCCGUGGAGCUUUACUGUAGCCUGAUAUUGAAUUUUGGUACAGUUUGUACAGGAUAGGCGGGAGCCUUUGAAACCGGAGCGCUAGCUUCGGUGGAGGCGCUGGUGGGAUACCGCCCUGACUGUAUUGAAAUUCUAACCUACGGGUCUUAUCGACCCGGGAGACAGUGUCAGGUGGGCAGUUUGACUGGGGCGGUCGCCUCCUAAAGUGUAACGGAGGCGCCCAAAGGUUCCCUCAGAAUGGUUGGAAAUCAUUCGUAGAGUGCAAAGGCAUAAGGGAGCUUGACUGCGAGACCUACAAGUCGAGCAGGGACGAAAGUCGGGCUUAGUGAUCCGGUGGUUCCGCAUGGAAGGGCCAUCGCUCAACGGAUAAAAGCUACCCCGGGGAUAACAGGCUUAUCUCCCCCAAGAGUCCACAUCGACGGGGAGGUUUGGCACCUCGAUGUCGGCUCAUCGCAUCCUGGGGCUGUAGUCGGUCCCAAGGGUUGGGCUGUUCGCCCAUUAAAGCGGUACGCGAGCUGGGUUCAGAACGUCGUGAGACAGUUCGGUCCCUAUCCGUCGUGGGCGUAGGAAAUUUGAGAGGAGCUGUCCUUAGUACGAGAGGACCGGGAUGGACGCACCGCUGGUGUACCAGUUGUUCUGCCAAGGGCAUAGCUGGGUAGCUAUGUGCGGAAGGGAUAAGUGCUGAAAGCAUCUAAGCAUGAAGCCCCCCUCAAGAUGAGAUUUCCCAUAGCGUAAGCUAGUAAGAUCCCUGAAAGAUGAUCAGGUUGAUAGGUUCGAGGUGGAAGCAUGGUGACAUGUGGAGCUGACGAAUACUAAUAGAUCGAGGACUUAACCAUAUAA